rnacentral:rRNA from 1 species
GAUGAACGCUGGCGGCGUGCUUAACACAUGCAAGUCGAACGGACAUGUCUUUCGGGAUAUGUUAGUGGCAGACGGGUGCGUAACACGUAGGUGACCUGCCCUAGAGUGGGGAAUAACUAUCCUAACGGAUAGCUAAUACCGCAUAUGUUCGGUGAUUCAUUUUGCCGAGUAAAGUCGCAAGGCGCUCUAGGAUGGGCCUGCGGCGGAUUAGGUAGUUGGUGGGGUAAUGGCCUACCAAGCCGAUGAUCCGUAGGGGGCGUGAGAGCGUGGCCCCCCCACACUGGCACUGAGAUACGGGCCAGACUCCUACGGGAGGCAGCAGUGAGGAAUAUUGCGCAAUGGGCGAAAGCCUGACGCAGCAACGCCGCGUGAGGGACGAAGGCCUUCGGGUCGUAAACCUCUUUUCUGGGGAAAGAGCAAGGACGGUACCUCAGGAAUAAGUCUCGGCUAACUACGUGCCAGCAGCCGCGGUAAAACGUAGGAGGCGAGCGUUAUCCGGAUUUACUGGGCGUAAAGCGCACGCAGGCGGCUUCGUUAGUCGGAUGUGAAAGCUCCUGGCUUAACUAGGAGAGGCCAUUCGAUACUGCGAGGCUUGAGGUUGGGAGAGGGGUGUGGAAUUCCCGGUGUAGUGGUGGAAUGCGUAGAUAUCGGG